UUUCUUCUCGGUAUCUCCUUCUUUCUUUGACAACACAGAGACUGUGUAACUCAAGUUUGGGGGAGGUACCAAGCAUUUGAUCAUGUUUGCUUUGAUUGUGUUUCAUUUGAGUCAUGCAUUGCACGCCUAUUUACAUAAAAAAAAAAAGAUUUUUCAUUUAGUUUGCAUCAUUCGCACCAUUAGGAGAGUCUAGAGCAUAUAGGUUGCAUUCACUUGCAUUGGGAGCAAUGAUUUUAAAUGCCUUGUA
rnacentral:lncRNA from 1 species